rnacentral:tRNA from 1 species
GGGCUUGUGGCCUAGUUUGGAAAGGCGCAUGACUCCUAAUCUUGCGAUCGAGGGUUCAAAUCCCUCCAAGUCCG